ensembl:lncRNA
CGGUCAACCUCCAGUGAGUCAUGUUGACUAGAAAUGGUGGCAACACAACAUGGUUUCUUAGAGGAUAUCCUCAAGAUAUAUUCCUUUACCAUUGCUUAUUAGUCUUCUGGGAUCCCAGGAGCAAAGAAUGAAAUGCUUCCUGAACUUAGAUUCAGGUGGGAGAGAGGUCUGACCCAUCUUGUCAUUCACUCACUAAAUGACUGGGGGCUGGUCACUUUUCCUCGUGGGGGGUCUCAGAUUCCUUAUUGGUAUGGGGAGAAGUUUGAUCAGGUGAUUCUGAUGAUUCCAUCAAAUCAAAUUUCUUCAGUUUCCUCUUCCCUAGCUGGAAAGAUUAUUGGGAGUGUCUAGAGAGCUGAAGUACCGUGUUGUGCUACAUAGACGUCGACGGUGAUGGUGAGGGCAGUCCUGCUCUCUAUUAGAAACAGCCCCCCGCCCCAUCCUCUGCUCUCACAGAUACUGCUUCAGAGCUCCCUCCUCCUCUGCCCCUCAACCCCCAACCCCAGCUCAGUAGUGAUGUUGGUGAGAAAUUUCCUGGCUGCGGUAAGGUCACGGGGAUAAAUGGGAAGGUUGGCCCAUUGCCUGAAAAUGAGUUUGGCUUAAAGGUUCCUUGCCCAAGAAAAGGAAACAGAAACCUGCUGAGAUAGCCAAGGGGGAAAGAGAAGAGAGAGUGACCUCUUUAGAAAGAGCUGCAGCCCUGGAAAUCUGACUAAUGGCUGGAGAGGGCCAGAUGUUUUAUCCUGCUACGUUAAGUCAUCUUGACAUGCUGCCACGAAAUGGAAACAACUGCUAGUUUUAAUAUCGCUCCAUAUCUUUAUUACAAGUCGAAAGGCUUGGACUUCAUGGAUGAGGACUUGUGUUUUCAUUUGAAUGAGGAACCGACUGUCUGAGCCAGCAGCUGAAGAUUCCAAAGAAUCAUGGUGUCUCCUCUGACAAUGGGUCCUUAGAGAGCCCUCUUCUAUCCCAGCAGCAAAGGCCCCUCACUGUGAUCGUCCGGUGGUGCUGACUUGCCCAUGAAACCCUCGGUCCUACACCUUGGAGACUGCCUUCUGUCCAAAGUGUUUGAGACGGGGCCCUGGUUUUAUGAACUCAGUGCCUGUCUCUGAAAGACAGCAGAUGCAAUGAGGCCCCGGAUGGAAACAAUAAAUACCAUUCAGAUUUCCCGCACGGAGCUUCUUAUAGUGGCGCCUUUGUUGAGGGAAACAGGGAUUGAAAUGCCUUCCCCCACCCUUCCUUUUCCCUCCAGCCCCCUUUCACUGCUAGGAUCUCAACCACCUCUGGAAAGCAAAGGUUAAGUAUCUGAGGAGAAAUCAGUUGACAUACCAAAGAGACUCCAGCGAAUGUAUCACUCACUUGCCAGCAAUUCGGUGGGGCGGAGAGCUUCUGGGGAGGGGAAUGAAUUUUACUUGAAGCCAGAAGAAAAGCAGCCCUGGGAGGGGAGUACUUGCUAGAAAUAUCCUCCUCUGAGCUGGGAUGUUAACAGUGGCACCUUCUGACUUAAUGUGGCAUCUUUCUUCAUCGUUAUCAAUCUCAUGAGAGCUUUCCUGCCAUCUGUACCAUUUGUGCUUCAGGCUCCCAUAUGAAAGUCCAAUCUGGCAGCAUAAAUACUGGCUAAUGAAGAGUAGGUGUCUGACUGACUGGGAGAGAAGGGAUCCUGUCUCAAUGAUGGGGCAGGAUUCAUUCAUUUGAGGAAAAAACUGCAUUUCUAUAGCCAUUCAAGAAGAAAUCCUCUCUCCUUCUCUCUCUUUACCCCCCUUUCCUCCCCUCUCUGAUCCUCCUUUCUCAUUUUCUUCCUGUGUCAUCCUUUGUUAAUGGAGUUCAUGCAAAAGUCAGCACAAAAAUGGUCUUUGCCUAGAAUGUUAUACCUCAGAGAUUAAAAAUAGGAACGCGAUGUGGACUUGCCGACAUGUGGUGGGUUAUUUUUUAUUUUUUUUCCUCUUCAGUGGGAAAGCUAUAACUACAUAGAUUAGCAAAACUUGUGCAAGAAUGGAUGUAAAACAGAUUUAUCUCUGUGUCAGCUUUAUCUGAUCCAUUUGGUCUUGCAGAGUUUCGAUGGCCUCCUUUGUUACAAUAACCAGCUCUCAAACAUCUAUAUCCUUAGGGUAUUAAAUGUCAGCCUCCUGAUGUACCAGUCGAGGAGAGAGGGUUGACAGUCUGUGGGCUGGGGAAGUUCUCCUUGUGCGCAGGGCAGAGGGGCUGCUUGUGCGUCCAGGCUGGCUGCUGGGAUGACCUCCAGAAACUUCCACCACCUCCCCGUGUCACCGUGCAGGGGUGUUGAAGCUUACCACCGCCAUUAAUAUCCUUUUACACAGAAUUCAAAAAGAUUUCCUGUCACUGACAAGGACAGAUUUGUUAGAGGUCUCUCAAGGAAAUGGACAAUAACUAAUUAAUUGAGCUCUCCAGGACUUUCCGUGCUGUCGUUCCUCAUUUAUCUGUUCUCGUUUCUCACCACGCAGGUCCAGCUC